rnacentral:rRNA from 1 species
AACGAACGCUGGCGGCAUGCCUAACACAUGCAAGUCGAACGACACCAUCGGAUCUGGUUGCGCACGGGUGCGUAGCGCGUGGGACCCUGCCCUUAGGCUCGGAAUAACUCUCCGAAGGGGGUGCUAAUACCGGAUAAUGUCUUCGGACACAAGAUAUAUCGCCUUUGUAUGGGCCCGCGUUGUCUUAGCUAGUUGGUAGGGUAAAAGCCUACCAAGGCGACGAUCCAUAGCUGGUCUGAGAGGAUCAUCAGCCACUCUGAGACUGGGACACGGCGCAGACUCCUACGGGAGGCACCAGUGGCUAAUCCUGGACUAUCGGCUAAAGCAUGAUCCAGCACUGCCUCGUGAGUGAUGAAGUUCUGAGGGUUGUAAAGCUCUUUAACCCGCGAUUAUAAUGACAGUACCGAAAGAAUAAGCUCCGGCUAACUCCGUG